CCUACGGGUGGCAGCAGUCGAGAAUCAUUCACAAUGGGGGAAACUCUGAUGGUGCGACGCCGCGUGGGGGAAUGAAGGUCUUCGGAUUGUAAACUCCUGUUAUGUGGGAGUAAAUUAAAAAGAUAGUACCACAAGAGGAAGAGACGGUUAACUCUGUGCGAGUAGCCGCGGUAAUACAGAGGACUCAAGCGUUAUUCGGCAUCACUGGGCGUAAGGGGUGCGGAGGCUGUUGCGUAAGUCAGGUGUGAAAGGGGGGGGCUCAACCCGAGAACGGCAUUGGUUACGGGGAGACUUGGGUAAGGCAGAGGUAGCCGGAAUUCGCGGUGUCGCGGUGAAAUGCGUAGAUAUCAGGAGGAACAC
rnacentral:rRNA from 1 species